rnacentral:rRNA from 1 species
CGUGUAGGCGGUCCGCUAAGUCUGAUGUGAAAGCCCGGGGCUCACCCCCGGAAGGGCAUUGGAUACUGGUGGACUUGAGUCCCGGAGAGGAGGGUGGAAUUCCUGGUGUAGCGGUGAAAUGCGUAGAUAUCAGGAGGAACACCGGUGGCGAAGGCGGCCCUCUGGACGGUGACUGACGCUGAGACGCGAAAGCGUGGGGAAGCAAACA